CCACAGUGAAAUAUUCGACACAGCACAGAAGCCGAUCACUUACAGACAACAGCGUUGGCCAAAUUUACUUUCACCUGAGACCCUUGACUGGGAGGAAGAACUCCAAACGACCCUGUUCCCUGGAAUGAGAUGUCAAUGAAGCAUGUCUGAUUUGUGAAAAUUUUGAAGCAGGUCUGUAUUAGUCCGUUUUUAAGCUGCUGAUAAAGACAAACCCAAGACUGGGGAGAAAAGGAGGUUUAAUUUGACUUAUGGUUCCACAUGGCUGGGGAGAUCUCGUGAUCAUGACGGAAGGCAAAAGGCACUUUAUACAUGGUAGCAGCAAGAGAGAAUGAGGAAGAAGCAAAAGCAGAACCCCCUGAUAAACCCAUCAGAUGUUGUGAGACUUAUUCACUAUCACGAGAAUAGCAUGGAAGAGACCACCCCCAUGAUUCAAUUACCUCCCGCUGGGUCCGUCCCAUAACACGUGGGAAUUCUGGGAGAUACAAUUGAAGUUGAGAUUUGAAUGGGGACACAGCCAAACCAUAUCAAGGUCACUCUCGUGAUUUCUUUUUGGGUAACACCCAUACAGGUGUGGACUCCUUUUUGUCAAGUUUCUCAGUUUCACUGUGCAGAGGCUAAAAGUGGCAGCAACAUCUCUUACCACCUGGCUAUGAGAUUUCCUUCAAAUACCUGGAGAGGGACUCAUUGGUUGGGAAUAUUAUCACACUCUGAUGUUUUGCCCAAGAGCAGCCUGUGAAUCCUGCUGAGAGUUCACAGCUUAGCCUUUCUACUUCUUUGCCACCUUCCAGGCUUCUGGAACUGCUCCAGGACAGAGCAGCCUGGAUCAGAGGAGGGAAGUAACAAGUGACAGCCUGCUGGAGAAGUGACAGCUCACGUCACUUCUGUCCUGUUCCAGGAGUGAUGCUAAGUCAGGCUUCUGUCUCGGUUCCUUUGUGUGCCCUUUAUGGAGGCUCCUUCUGAGUCCCCCCUAUCCCCACCAGAAGUCUCUUCUUCUGAGUCUUGGUUCAUAUCAAAGUGGAAAACUGAUGUUCUAGAUGCACUUAUGCAAAGCCAAGGGCGGGGCAGAAGGCAGGGUGCUGGCCGUGGGACUUAGUGGUGGUGGGUCAGUGGGAGCAAAGACAUACACUAUCAGCAGUGCCUAAAGGUGAGAGCUCAGGGAUGGCCCACCUUAACCUUUCUCUGCACGUUCUUAUAAAUGCAGGUUGUAGUUGGUUAAAUAGUGUUCUCCCAAACUAUGUCCAAGUCCUAACUCCCAGGACAUGUAAAUGUGACUUUAUUUGGAAACAGGGUCUUAGCAGAGGUAAUUAAGCUAACAGUCUCAAGAUGAGAUCCUGUUGGAUUUAGGGCAGGCUCUAAGUCCAAUGACUGGCAUCCUUAUAAGAAGAGGAGAGGACACACAGACACCCAAGUGAGCCACAUGUAAAGACAGAGGCAGAGACUGCAGCGGCGCAACUCCAGUCAACCAGCCAAGCAACAAGACUGACUGGCAGCCGCUGGAAGCCAGGAGAGAGGCAUGGAAUGGGUCUCCCUCUGAGCCUCUGGAAGGAACCAACCCCACUGACACCUCAAUUGUGGACUUCUGGCCUCCAGAACUGUGAGACAAUACAUUUCUGUUGUUUGAGGCCACGAGGUUUGUGGUUGUUUGUAAUGGUACCCACAGGAAGCUCAUCCACAGUUAACACACAUCAUAUGUGAGCUCUGCGCAGACAGUCUUUACGCUGCUGUCAUCAUCCAAGGAUGGCUGUGCGGGGAACGAUGACUGCUAACUCAGUUCACCAGAAGAUUGCUGCUCCCUGUUUCUUUGCAUAGUAUUGACACAUGAGAGGCUUGGAGGAUGCAUACCCUGAGUUAGCACUUGAAGUCAUCUGAAUGCUGUUUGCCUGUCCUUGACAUUACACAAUUUGUGUAUCUUUGUGUGAUCCAAGUUAAAUCUGACAAUAGAAAACAAUCACAAAAUAAGCAUUUCCUGGCAUUGUCAUCAUUCAAGAUGAAAGGAAAGUGGAAUGAGGCGAUUUCUGCCUCUAUGGGAUCCACUGACAAUUAACUGGAGCAGCUCAUCCCGGUCCCUUUUCAAUGAAUAUUAACAACCACACUGACUGCAGAUAGCUCUGUAUUGCUCCCCAUCGUGCGGCAAAAUUGAGUAAACACUUAUUCCUCAUUAGGGUGUUUUAUGAAUAGGGCAUUACAGUGCGCUGGUGGCACUCACUCUGCCUUUCGUGAAGGAGGCCACGAUGAACAGCUGGAGUCGGAAUCACCGUUCUGCCUUCUUCCUGUUCUCAGCAGACGCACACGGCGCCGAGGGGGUGCUCUGUGAGGCCCCUG
rnacentral:lncRNA from 1 species